rnacentral:tRNA from 1 species
AUUCAGGUAGCUUAAAUAAAGCAUGGUGCUGAAGACGCUAAGAUAAGAGACUCUCUUUUUGAAUA